GAUCCUGGCUCAGGAUGAACGCUAGCUACAGGCUUAACACAUGCAAGUCGAGGGGCAGCAUGGACCCAGCUUUGCUGGGUUUGAUGGCGACCGGCGCACGGGUGAGUAGCGCGUAUCCAACCUGCCCUUUACUCCGGGAUAGUCUCCUGAAAGGGAGUUUAAUACCGGAUGUGUUUGUCUUUCCGCAUGGGGAGCGAACAAAUAAAGUAUUAAGUUAGGUAAAGAGUGGGGAUGCCGUCCUAUUAGCUUUGGUUGGGG
rnacentral:rRNA from 1 species